GGUUUUUUAAGGAAGAAAUUUGAGAAAAAAAAUGAGAAGGUGUACUGAAGCAUAAGGUUCUUAAAGGAAGAAAUUUGAAAAAAAAAAUGAGGUGGUGUAUUGAAACAUAAGGUUCUUAAAGGAAGAAAUUUGAAAAAAGAAUGAGAAGGUGUAUUGAAACAUAAGUCUGCCACUUCAGAGACAAAACCCCGCAAGUCAGAUGCACGACCAACCAAAAACCAGACAGUCAAAAAUCCAUCAGCAGAAAAUCAACACCGUUUGGCAAAGCUUCCCGAAGACUUUCGUCUUAAUUAAGCAUCCGUUUCUAAUUGCCGAACACCAGGUUGGUCUGCUGUAUUUCCCCAUGUCCACAGCUAUGCACAUCGUUUGAGGAUUUUAGAAAUCCUAAGAAUUAAGAGAGAAAUGUCCAAUGGAAAAAAAGAAAAGAGAGCUCACAAAGGGGACCAGAAGUAGGGCGAUCGAGCGGGAGAGGAACGAGCCGGAAGAGGGUUCAAGGCUGGAUGUAGGUUGAUUUAAGGCUUCAGUAGGUCCCAGCUAGCACCCGCCGGGGACAAUCUUGGACAACGUAACCCACGCCGCAAGCAACAGCGAGUGAGGAUGACCGAGCUUAUCCGAGAGAAGCUCAGAGCCACAUACAGGCCUCUACAAGGGAAAGGUCAGCUACAUCUGCCAGUCAGCUGGCAGGCCAGACCCAUCCUCUGCGCCGGAACAACCCAAUCGUAAGAUGGGAGACAUUCUUCGGGGCAGAAAAAAUGAAUCGGCACCCUGGAUCCAGCCUGAGGAUUUUAUUCUGUCCAGUCUAGUGUCACAGAAAGAUUUAAAACUGUGCCUUCUCUGUAAUUUUCAAAUGGAGAAGGAAUAGCAUUCGAUUAAGGUGGUCACGGUUUGGAGAGGUGAAUUAGUUGAUGAAUAAAGCCCCACUUUUCCUCA